UACGUAGGGGGCAAGCGUUGUCCGGAUUUAUUGGGCGUAAAGAGCGUGUAGGCGGCCGUACAGGUCAGCUGUGAAAACUCGAGGCUCAACCUCGAGACGUCGGUUGAAACCGUACGGCUAGAGUCCGGAAGAGGAGAGUGGAAUUCCCGGUGUAGCGGUGAAAUGCGCAGAUAUCGGGAAGAACACCCGUGGCGAAGGCGGCUCUCUGGGACGGUACUGACGCUGAGACGCGAAAGCGUGGGGAGCGAACGGG
rnacentral:rRNA from 1 species